ensembl:snRNA LOC120101948 U6 spliceosomal RNA
GUGCUUGCUUCGGCAGCACAUACACGAAAAAUGGAAUGAUACAGAGAAGAUCAGCACGGUCCUUGCACAAGGAUGACACACAAAUCUGUGCAAUGUUCCAUAUUUUU